rnacentral:tRNA from 1 species
GGUAAUAGCUCAGUGGGAGAGUGCUUGCCUGAAAUGAGUGAGGCCCUGGGUUCAAUCCUCAGCACCA